rnacentral:rRNA from 1 species
UACGUAGGGGGCAAGCGUUGUCCGGAUUUAUUGGGCGUAAAGAGCGUGUAGGCGGCUUUACAGGUCCGUUGUGAAAACUCGAGGCUCAACCUCGAGACGCCGGUGGAAACCGUAAGGCUAGAGUCCGGAAGAGGAGAGUGGAAUUCCUGGUGUAGCGGUGAAAUGCGCAGAUAUCAGGAGGAACACCAAUUGCGAAGGCAGCUCGCUGGGACGUGACUGACGCUGAGGCGCGAAAGCGUGGGGAGCGAACAGG